AUGUAGUAGGCCCUUGCUAAAUUUGUCAAAUGAAUGAAUAAACGCCCCCCCAAAGACAAUAAGGAUGCCCCUCAGCACGACUCCUGUAUUUCUAAUUGCUGGGCCUUACGGAGCUCAGCAGGGAGCUAGAAUCCAAGGGGCACCCAGGAAAGGCUUAGUUUCUAGUGUUUGCUAAUCAUGCUUCCAAUAAAAUUGUGGGAGAGUUUUCAAGAACUAAAAAGCCAGCCAGGCAUGGUGGCCUGUAAGCCCAGCAGUUUGGGAGGCUGAGGCAGGUGGAUCACCUAAGGUCAGGAGUUCAAGACCAGCCUGGCCAACAUGGUGAGAUCCCAUCUCUACUAAAAAUACAAAAUUAGCUGGGUGUGGUGGCACAUGCCUGUAAUCCCAGCUACUCAGGAGGCAAGGCUGGAGAAUCGCUUGAACCCAGGAAGCGGAGGUUGCAGUGAGCCGAGAUUGCACCAUUGCACUCCAGCCUGGGUGACAAGAGUGAAACUCUGUCUAAAAAUAAAUAAAUAAAUACAAGCCUGGCUGAUUUUUUGGGCAUUUCUUACAGAAUUGGAUAAACAAAGUGGUGCAGAGCCCAAAACUAGAAAGCCAGGAGACUUGGGUUAAAUCUCUCACAUCUCUAUUCCCCAAUAGUGUAGUAACUGUGGAUAAAUCCUUUUGGAGUGCUAGGUCUCCUUUCUCCCACAUCUAAAAUAGUAUUUAUUAUGCAACUCCUUCCUAGGGGCAGGGCAUGUCUGUGAGGUGAACAAGAUCAUUUCUGUAAAUUCUUUGGGAUGCUUAUAUUCAGAUAUAAUAAUAACAAUAAAAAGACACCCUUUAGGUCUAUCUCACUUUAAGAAAACCAAAUAUAUAAAAACUCAAUGUAUGUUAUUACUAAAGAACUUUUGCAAACUCCCCUAGGCCUAGAGUAUUAAUAAUGGGGUUCAAUCUACCCAAAUUCAAUUCAUGCCCAGCUGUUUCAGAACACACCAAUUACAUAGGGAAGCAUUUAGCACAUUGCCUUGCGCCUAAUAGGUAAUUAAUAUUUGUUUAUUGACUCCUUGAUCAGUAAUGCAAAGUGUACCUGUACUGGGACAUCUUAACUCUGACGUGACAAAGGUUAGGCUUUCUCUAGGAGAACUCACCAUCUCUCUGUUCUUUUUCCAGUCCCCCAAAUCUGCUUUCAUCAGUGCUGCGAAGAAGGCCAAGUUGAAGUCCAAUCCUGUGAAGGUUCGAUUUUCUGAGCAGGUGGCAGUUGGAGAAACAGAUGCAAAAAUGAUGAAGAAGGAAGCUCUCCUCCUCAUCCCCAACGUCCUGAAGGUUUUCUUAGAAAAUGGGCAGAUCAAGUCAUUCACAUUUGAUGGUCGGACCACUGUUAAGGAUGUGAUGUUGACAUUACAGGACCGCCUUUCCCUGAGGUACAUUGAGCACUUUGCUCUUGUCCUUGAGUAUGCCGGGCCAGAACAGAAUCACAAGUUUCUGCUUCUUCAGGACAAGCAACCCCUGGCUUAUGUGGUACAGCGGACACACUAUCACGGAAUGAAAUGCCUCUUCCGAAUAAGCUUCUUUCCCAAAGACCCUGUGGAGCUGCUGCGUCGGGAUCCUGCUGCUUUUGAGUACCUAUACAUCCAGGUAGAGUCUGGCUUGGGGAUACACAGACAGACCAGUGGACAAAGAAGCAGGCAGGCUGUUCUGCCAUCACAGUGAAGUAGCUAUGUAAGUUUUUCCAAUCUCCAGGUAGCCCUGAAGGCCCUUUCCUUCCUUUUCUGCUACCAUUGUAGGCCAUGGCCAAGUUGGCUGGCCUGGUGACCUGAGCUGGCUGUGGCUCAAAGUCCUGUCUAUUUGUCCACUCAGAUCUCAUCAGUUUUCAGAAACAAGCAAUCCCAGUAACUCUGGCAUCCUCACAGGAUCCUAAAGUUUAACAAGCCCAUUUCGGUUUCAACGGGUCUCAACUCCCAAUACCUAGCUCCAGUAUGAGAUGAUUCCCCGUUCAGUUUAUCCAGAAACAUUUACUAGACACUUACUCUGGGUUAAGCCCUAUGCUAGGUACUAGCAACCAGAAGUGAAUGAAGAACUGUCCUGGCUCACUAGAGCUUAUAUGUGUCUGAAUAAAUACGACAGCAGCAGGGUACAAUGAAGAUGAGGGCACGCAGGAAGCAUUUUUCCAACUCUACACAAGAGAGAUGGUGCAGGCUUCAUGGAAAAAGUGAUAUAUGCAUGCUCUUAGCCUUGGAGAAUGAAUGAGAGUUUGUUGUAUAGAGAGAUGGAAUGGAGGGGGCAUACUCUAAGCAAAGGGCCUUGCAUUUACAAAGCCAUGGUGGCAUG
rnacentral:sRNA from 1 species